AAUCAACGCUGGCGGCGUGCCUCAGACAUGCAAGUCGAACGCGAAACCUUCCUUCGGGAGGGGAGUAGAGUGGCGCACGGGUGAGUAACACGUGGGUAAUCUACCUUUGGGUGGGGAAUAACAGCCGGAAACGGCUGCUAAUACCGCAUAAUGCAGCGGCUCGACAUCGAGACAGUUGUUAAAGCGGGGGAUCGUAAGACCUCGCGCCUAAAGAGGAGCCUGCGGCAGAUAGCUAGUUGGUAAGGUAACGGCUUACCAAGGCGACGAUCUGUAGCCGGCCUGAGAGGGCGGUCGGCCACACUGACACUGACAUACGGGUCAGACUCCUACGGGAGGCAGCAGUCGGGAAUUUUGGGCAAUGGGCGAAAGCCUGACCCAGCAACGCCGCGUGAGGGAUGAAGGCCUCGGUUGUAA
rnacentral:rRNA from 1 species